rnacentral:rRNA from 1 species
CACGGAGUUAGCCGGUGCUUCCUCACCCGGUACCGUCACGCUCGACGAAUCGAGCCGUUCGUCCCGGGCAACAGUGGUUUACACCCCGAAAGGCGUCCUCCCACACGCGGCGUCGCUGCGUCAGCCUUUCGGCCAUUGCGCAAGAUUCCCCACUGCUGCCUCCCGUAGGAGUCUGGGCCGUCUCUCAGUCCCAAUGUGGCUGGCCAUCCUCUCAGACCAGCUACCCGUCGUCGCCUUGGUGGGCCAUUACCCCGCCAACAAGCUGAUAGGCCGCGAACCCCUCCCCGUGCGCCGGAGCUUUCCUCUUCCCAGGACUCCCCAGAAAGAACGUAUGCGGUAUUACCCGGGCGUUAGCCCGGCUAUCCCCCACACGAGGGCAGGUUGUUCACGUGUUACGCACCCGUUCGCCGGUUGUCCUUGCGGACCCCCGUGACUUGCAUGUGUUAAGCACGCCGCCAGCGUUCGUCCUGAGCCAGGAUCAAACUCU